rnacentral:tRNA from 1 species
GGGCCCGUAGCUCAGCCUGGACAGAGCGGCUGCCUUCUAAGCAGAUGGUCGUGGGUUCGAAUCCCACCGGGCCCG